AGGGUUUGAUCAUGGCUCAGAAUGAACGUUGGCGGCGUGGAUUAGGCAUGCAAGUCGUGCGAGAAGUGUUUUUUGCUUGCAUUGAACACGGACAGCGGCGAAAGGGAGAGUAACGCGUGGUUACAUGCCCAAGGGUCCAGGAUAGCGUCGGGAAACUGGCGGUAAUACUGGAUGAUAUCUAAGGAUCAAAGGUGUGAUUCCGCCCUUGGAUUGGACCGCGUACUAUUAGCUUGUUGGUGGGGUAAUGGCCUACCAAGGCUGCGAUGGUUACCGGGUGUGAGAGCAUGGCCCGGCUCACUGGGACUGAGACACUGCCCAGACACCUACGGGUGGCUGCAGUCGAGAAUCUUCGGCAAUGGACGAAAGUCUGACCGAGCGACGCCGCGUGCGGGAUGAAGGCCUUAGGGUUGUAAAGCACUUUCAGGGGUGAGGAAGGGUAGCUAGUUAAUACCUAGUUAUCUUGACGUUAGCCCCAGAAGAAGCACCGGCUAACUUCGUGCCAGCCGCCGCGGUAAUAC
rnacentral:rRNA from 1 species